CCUACGGGGGGCAGCAGUAGGGAAUAUUGCUCAAUGGGGGAAACCCUGAAGCAGCAACGCCGCGUGGAGGAUGAAGGUUUUCGGAUUGUAAACUCCUUUUGUUAGAGAAGAUAAUGACGGUAUCUAACGAAUAAGCACCGGAUAACUCCGUGCCAGCAGCCGCGGUAAUACGGAGGGUGCAAGCGUUACUCGGAAUCACUGGGCGUAAAGAGCGCGUAGGCGGGAUAGCAAGUCAGAUGUGAAAGCCUAUGGCUUAACCAUAGAACUGCAUUUGAAACUGUUAUUCUAGAGUAUGGGAGAGGUAGGUGGAAUUCUUGGUGUAGGGGUAAAAUGCGUAGAGAUCAAGAGGAAUACCCAUUGCGAAGGCGACCUGCUAGAACAUAACUGACGCUGAUGCGCGAAAGCGUGGGGAGCAAACAGGAUUAGAUACCCCAGUAGUC
rnacentral:rRNA from 1 species